rnacentral:rRNA from 1 species
UUCGUAACAAGGUUUCCGUAGGUGAACCUGCGGAAGGAUCAUUNUUGAUACCUGCAAAGCANACCCGCGAACACGUUACAAACAUGUUUGGGAUCGUGCGUCUGAUGCCUUGGCGUCCCUCGUCACACUCCCUUCCCGGGCACGCAUGCUUGCAUGCGUUGCUCGGCUUAAUGAACAUCCCGGCGCGGCAAGCGCCAAGGAAAACUAUAACGAGAAUGCUUGCUCCUGCUAGGCAUCGUUCGCGGUGUAUUUUGUUGGGUGGCAUGCAACUCCUUGUAUCACUGAACGACUCUCGGCAACGGAUAUCUCGGCUCUCGCAUCGAUGAAGAACGUAGUGAAAUGCGAUACUUGGUGUGAAUUGCAGAAUCCCGUGAACCAUCGAGUCUUUGAACGCAAGUUGCGCCCGAAGCCAUUUGGCCGAGGGCACGUCUGCCUGGGCGUCACACAUCGCGUCGCCCCCCUCCCAUCCCUUUCUUUUGUGGAAGUGGGUGUGGCCUAGGGGGCGGACAUUGGCCUCCCGUGCUAUUCUUGUGCGGUUGGCCCAAAUUUGAUAUUGGGUCGACGUAUGUCACGCCUAGUGGUGGUUGAAACAAUCGCGUGCUUUUGUGUGAUAUAUUUGUCGGAUUCUGAAAAUCNNNNUUGACCCAGCAUUUUUAUCGAUCG